CCUACGGGUGGCAGCAGUGAGGAAUAUUGGUCAAUGGGCGCGAGCCUGAACCAGCCAAGUCGCGUGAGGGAUGAAGGUCCUAUGGAUGGUAAACCUCUUUUAUAAGGGAAUAAAGUGGGGGACGUGUCCGAUUUUGUAUGUACCUUAUGAAUAAGGAUCGGCUAACUCCGUGCCAGCAGCCGCGGUAAUACGGAGGAUCCGAGCGUUAUCCGGAUUUAUUGGGGUUAAAGGGUGCGUAGGCGGCCUUUUAAGUCAGCGGGGAAAGUCUGGGGCUCAACCCUAGACUUGCCGUUGAAACUGGGUGUCUUGUGUAUUUUUGAGGCAGGCGGAAUUCGUGGUGUAGCGGU
rnacentral:rRNA from 1 species